AAAAAUGCUUCAGUUGCUGCUCCAUUUCCAGUCAACGUCUACAGCAAAUUCUAAAUCAUCUACCUAUUUUGGGCACCACAUCGCUUCAAAUUUAAAUGUAUGUGCUCAGCAAUAGCGAAUAUAUCCAAUCAGAUCAAUAUUAACGAUAUCAUUUAAUUUGGUCUUAAAUUUUAUCAUCAGAUUUUAAUGAAAUCUUAGAUAAGUGUGCAUAGUCACGAAUACCUACCUGCAUGUAAUACUCAAUUCUCACUUGUACACCACAAACGAAUGUUUCUUCAUGUAAUUUUUCUCACACGAUAAUUCAUAUCAGUUAUAUCUCAUUUUGUACCUUCGUUCAUAAAAUUUUCAGCAAUUUGCAUAAAGUGACAUGAAUUCACUCAUUUUAUCUCAAAUUUUCAUGUCAAUACUCUGGAUUAACAUUACGGCGAUAUCCUCAGCUCGUAUCAUCUCUUUACCCCCUAAACCCCCUGCUACAAGAAGUAUCCCUUAUCCUGAGAUGAUAUCCUCAGCUCGUAUCAUGUAUUUCUCUCCUAGACCAAUAAGUAUCCCUUCUGAGGUAAGUGAAAUUAUCAACUUCAUGUGGCCUGAUGAAUCUGAAUACAUCUCUUGGACUGAUGCAACUGAUAAUGUCAUCCCUCUUCAAACGUUGCCUCCUGUAAUCACCACUUUUGAGCCCAAUCUUCCUCCGGCCCCCCUGUGAUUGAAAGUUUAAACUCGGUAAUGUUGGAGGAGACCUGAGGAAUGAAAGAUUCAAACAAACACAAAGAAUUUGGCAAACGAAGAAGAAUAUAUUAUUCAGAAGAUCGUGGAUUGAGUCAACUAAUAACUACAGUGUGGAGAGUAAAAAAUUACCAUCUAUAGCUGACUAUGAGAUAUGCACAGUUUUAACACUUAUAGGCCAUGUACAAGUAGUUCCAUUCAAUAUUCGUUUUCACAUGCCUCCUUUUCCAAGUACCUACACCUCUUUUUCAUUUAUAAAAUAGGAAAUACAGAUUGCCAUGUGAAUUGCUGUUUGAAAUUUAACAGCUGUUUAUUCUGUUAGGAUUUUCACUCAGAUCAGGAAAAUAUAUACCUAAUAUUACUUUUAACUGAAGUUACAGAAAUUAUAAGUUUCAAAAGCGACAAA